UACGUAGGGCGCAAGCGUUAUCCGGAAUUAUUGGGCGUAAAGAGCUCGUAGGCGGUUUGUCGCGUCUGCCGUGAAAGUCCGGGGCUCAACUCCGGAUCUGCGGUGGGUACGGGCAGACUAGAGUGAUGUAGGGGAGACUGGAAUUCCUGGUGUAGCGGUGAAAUGCGCAGAUAUCAGGAGGAACACCGAUGGCGAAGGCAGGUCUCUGGGCCUGUACUGACGCUGAGGAGCGAAAGCGUGGGGAGCGAACAGG
rnacentral:rRNA from 1 species